AGCAACUUUCAUAAUAAAAGCAGUCGCCACAUUUUGUUGGAAGGUUAGCUAUAAUGAAAUCUCACUGAGAGGCAAAGCAAACCUUUUCAAGAUGCAUACGUAAAAGAAGAAAUCACUUUCUGAAUUCUCGGAACACUAAGGUUAAAGCAAAUGCUGUAUGAGCCAGGUCCUCACUGUCAGAGAAAGAAACUACAAAUAAUCAUGCAAAAGGAGAAAGCUAGAAUGAACCUCGUGGUGCUGCAUCAGCCAUGAGACAUCAGUGAGAACCGGCGUUCAGGUGAAAAUACACACACAGCUACGGGAAGACCCCAUAAGAAGAAAAACUUGACACUGUUACUUACUCCUAGUCUCCAGUGAAGAAACACUUCUACAAUGAGGGAGAUGGAUCGCUUCAGACAAAUGGCAGCACCUUACUUCCUUGAGCGCCCCAGGCUCCGAUUCAGAAAUUAAGAGGCAGGCACUUCCUCUCACCCGAACUUCCCUGAGGAAUGGCAGCUGUAUGUCUGCCAGGCGCAGGGGCCAAUCGGGACUCUGCCGGCCGCCUCCACCCACGACUUAAACACCAUUUCACCAAUUGCAACAGGAUCGUGGGUGGGACUUCCGCUAUCAUUUUAGGCUUAACUACCACCAUCUCCUCGCGGGCAGUGGGGGCAACCGCGAAGACAGAAUUUCACAAACUUUCAGCUCCAGCAGUUUCAAGGAAAUGUCAGAUGACAAGAUAGAAGACAGAGUGGCAAGAGCUAAGACACCAAAAAGGCCCCCAAAAUUUGUUUUCAAGAAAACCAAUGAAAAAAGCAAGCAAUCAGAACGUGAAGUCCAGGAUCAUGGAUGUGCUUAUCUCCACAGUCACUGCUGGGUCCUGAAGUUCUCCUCUGGCCCAGUGCCAGCUGCGGAGCCCUCUGCCAAAGGGCCAGAGGAGGCCGGUGAUGUAGAGCUCUGAUUACCCACCCGUCAGGGCGCCGCUGAAGGUCACUGAAUACUUACUGUGCACCCGAAAAAUAAAUCCUGCGAGUUCACGCCCGCGUAGCUCGCCCCCUGAUUUUGAGCGACUCCUUUCGCAUGGGAUCUACAAAACCGAACUGCCUUAAAGACUUCUUUCACACGGACGUGAAGUCACAGAACUGACAAAAUCCCAUCCUGUCAAAGUGCACGGGUCUUUGAAAUCUAACACAAAAAGCCAUAGAAAGAUUCUCUAAACACCCUGUACUAUGAGGAACACGGACAGGGCACUGCGUUCUGAAGUAGAGGCCAGGGCACUGGCCCUUAGACACGUCUCGCUGUCACCGGGCUAACAACAUUGGCAAGGGCGACGGCAGCAGCACUGAUAUUUGCAGCCCCCAAGGGCCCUGGCGAAACCCCCUCUAUUACUCUGUAUCCUGCUUGUUUCCAAGAUGAACCUGUUGCUGGGAAAGAACAGGCUAAAUUAGAAAAGGGAGCAUUUUGUCAAAGUUGAA